GGCCUCGAGCUCACUCCCAACCCCUGUGACAUACCUUAAUGUUGCCUCGGCGGAUCAGCCCGCGCCCCGUAAAACGGGACGGCCCGCCAGAGGACCCAAACUCUAAUGUUUCUUAUUGUAACUUCUGAGUAAAACAAACAAAUAAAUCAAAACUUUCAACAACGGAUCUCUUGGUUCUGGCAUCGAUGAAGAACGCAGCAAAAUGCGAUAAGUAAUGUGAAUUGCAGAAUUCAGUGAAUCAUCGAAUCUUUGAACGCACAUUGCGCCCGCUGGUAUUCCGGCGGGCAUGCCUGUUCGAGCGUCAUUUCAACCCUCAAGCCCCCGGGUUUGGUGUUGGGGAUCGGCUCUGCCUUCUGGCGGUGCCGCCCCCGAAAUACAUUGGCGGUCUCGCUGCAGCCUCCAUUGCGUAGUAGCUAACACCUCGCAACUGGAACGCGGCGCGGCCAUGCCGUAAAACCCCAACUUCUGAAUGUUGACCUCGGAUCAGGUAGGAAUACCCGCUGAACUUAAGCAUAUCAAAAGGGCGGAGGAAA
rnacentral:rRNA from 1 species